UGCCUACGGGACGCAGCAGUGGGGAAUUUUGGACAAUGGGCGCAAGCCUGAUCCAGCUAUUCCGCGUGUGGGAUGACGGCCCUCGGGUUGUAAACCACUUUAGUAGAGAACGAAAAGGAGCUAUCGAAUAAAUAGCUCUGCUGACGGUACUCUAAGAAUAAGCACCGGCUAACUACGUGCCAGCAGCCGCGGUAAUACGGAGGAUGCGAGCGUUAUCCGGAUUUAUUGGGUUUAAAGGGUGCGCAGGCGGUCUGUUAAGUCAGCGGUCAAAGCCCGGGGCUCAACCCCGGCCCGCCGUUGAAACU
rnacentral:rRNA from 1 species